rnacentral:rRNA from 1 species
UGGUGGCGAGUGGCGAACGGGUGAGUAAUGCAUCGGAACGUGCCCAUCGAUGGGGGAUAACUGCGCGAAAGCGUUGCUAAUACCGCAUACGACUACGGGUGAAAGCAGGGGACCGCAAGGCCUUGCGUCGAUGGAGCGGCCGAUGCCGGAUUUAGCUAGUUGGUGAGGUAAAGGCUCACCAAGGCGACGAUCCCGUAGCUGGGUCUGAGAGGACGACCCAGCCACACUGGGACUGAGACACGGCCCAGACUCCUACGGGAGGCAGCAGUGGGGAAUCUUGGACAAUGGGCGAAAGCCUGAUCCAGCAAUGCCGCGUGUGGGAAGAAGGCCCUCGGGUUGUAAACCACUUUUGGCGGGAAAGAAAUGGUCUGUGCUAAUACCACGGAUUGAUGACGGUACCCGCAGAAUAAGCACCGGCUAACUACGUG